UAGGCGUAAAUGAUGCGAGUUAAGUGUGGGGGCAUCUACGAGAUGGCCCUGUGCUGUAGGGUAGCCGUUAAACUCGCUGCCUGGGGAGUACGGUCGCAAGGCUGAAACUUAAAGGAAUUGGCGGGGGAGCACCACAACGGGUGGAGCUUGCGGUUUAAUUGGAUUCAACGCCGGAAAUCUUACCGGGACCGACAGCAACAUGAAGGCCAGGCUGAAGACUUUGCCGGAUUAGCUGAGAGGAGGUGCAUGGCGUAG
rnacentral:rRNA from 1 species